UACGUAGGGGGCAAGCGUUGUCCGGAAUUAUUGGGCGUAAAGAGCGUGUAGGCGGUCCGGUAAGUCGGUUGUGAAAGUCCAGGGCUCAACCCUGGGAUGCCGAUCGAUACUGCCGGACUAGAGUCCGGAAGAGGCGAGUGGAAUUCCCGGUGUAGCGGUGAAAUGACGCAGAUAUCGGGAGGAACACCAAUGGCGAAGGCAGCUCGCUGGGACGGUACUGACGCUGAGACGCGAAAGCGUGGGGAGCGAACAGG
rnacentral:rRNA from 1 species